UGAUAAAAUAAAUGAAUAUUUAUAGAAGUUAAAUCUAUUAAUCUAGCCUUAUUACACCGAGUACAACAGGGAAUAAUAAGCCAUCUAUCUGAACGUGCACGGUUAGGGCCUCAAGGAAAGUGGGCUCAGCAAUGAGUGUUGGUACACAUGGAAAAUCACAUUUGCCAUGUUUUCUAUGGCUUUGGGCUGCUGCUGCAUCACUGCAGUUUAAUAGGAGGAGGCUGGUGAAAAUGUUACCAACUGCCAGGGGUCAAUGGCGAAAGAACACAUUUCUCUAGGAAAGAUUACCUUCUCUGAAGAAGUGAUAGGGGGAAUAAGGCAUAAAAUUAUCUGACCUGAGAGACCUUAACAGCUAGGCCUGCACUGCUCAUGCUUUGGGACCAGAAAGCGGAUGGUUUGAUAUGGUAGCUGCACUUCUAAAAAAAAAAGGGGGCAUUCUUGGCAGGAGAAAGGGUGUUACAUGGAAAGAUCAGCGAUAGUACACACGCCUUCCCAUAGAGUGAGGUGGCUUUCCCACCCCUCAACACUCCUUCAGACCCCCACUGUAACAAAGGGAUGUGUCUACCUCUAAAUUCAUCAUUUACUGAACAAAUAACUCAUGAGGGUUACCAUAUGUCUGACACUGUAGGAAGAGCUGAAGCAGGGCCUAAAACACUAUAGUGCAAGUAUCUGUUUACACAUCUGUAUGAGAGUAAUUGAUGCUAGCUGCUGUAACAAACAACCCCCCAAACUCAGUAACACAAUCAAGCUGUAUUUCUCCUUCACAUCAUAGCCUGGUGUGGGUCAGGUAGGUGACUCAGGGUUCUAGGCUCCUUCCAUUUUUUUGUCGCUGCCACACUGGAAAUGGGAUAGAAUAUCGUAUAGCUAUGAGAAUUGCAAAUAAGUAAAUUAUAUUAACAUGUACAAAUUUAUUAAAAAUACUCUUUCAAUUCCUUCUCUCUGCCUGACAUUGUUCUUCC
rnacentral:lncRNA from 10 species